rnacentral:rRNA from 1 species
GGAGGGGAGUGAAAUAGUACCUGAAACCGUAUGUCUACAAGCAGUCGGAGCGAAAGCGACGGCGUGCCUAUUGAAGAAUGAACCAACGAGUUAUCUGCACUAGCGAGGUUAAGUGGAAGACACGGAGCCGUAGCGAAAGCGAGUCUGAAAAGGGCGGCGAGUUAGUGUAGGUAGACCCGAAACCGCAGUGAUCUACCCAUGUCCAGGUUGAAGCGCAGGUAAAAAUGCGUGGAGGACCGAACCGGUGAGCGUUGAAAAGCUUUCGGAUGAGAUGUGGGUAGGGGUGAAAUUCCAAUCGAACGCGGAGAUAGCUGGUUCUCCCCGAAAUAGCUUUAGGGCUAGCCUCAGGUAGUAAGUAUAGGCGGUAGAGCACUGAUCGGGCUAGGGGCCAUAAAGGUUACCGAACCCUGUCAAACUCCGAAUGGAUAUACUGCAGAGCCUGGGAGUCAGACUACGAGUGAUAAGAUCCGUGGUCAAAAGGGAAACAGCCCAGACCACCGGCUAAGGUCCCAAAUGCCGUACUAAGUGGAAAAGGAUGUGGGGAUUCAUAAACAACCAGGAUGUUGGCUCAGAAGCAGCCACCAUUUAAAGAGUGCGUAAUAGCUCACUGGUCGAGAGUCCCUGCGCCGAAAAUUUCCGGGGCUAAAGUACGGAACCGAAGCCGUGGCUGUGCAUGUAAGUGCACGGGGUAGGGGAGCGUUGCCACAGGGGUGAAGCUGGUCUGGAAGGACUGGUGGACUUGUGGGAAGUGAGAAUGUUGGUAUGAGUAGCGAAAAGAAAGGUGAGAAUCCUUUCCACCGAAAGCAUAAGGAUUCCUGAGCAACGAUCGUCGUCUCAGGGUAAGUCGGGACCUAAUCCGAGGCAAAGAGCGUAGGAGAUGGACAACAGGUUGAUAUUCCUGUACCGGCAGCAAUUGUUUGAGCGAAGGAGUGACACAGAAGGGCAGGCAGGCGCGAGACUGGAUUGUCGCGUGCAAGCGUGUAGGGUAGUGUACAGGCAAAUCCGUACACUGAAAGCCUGAGGCGUUACGCGGAGCGAGCAGAGAUGCGAGCGAAGCUGCUGAUCCCACACUGUCGAGAAAAGCUUCUAGUGAGAGAGCUGCCGCCCGUACCGUAAACCGACACAGGUAUGCGGGGAGAGAAUCCUAAGGUGCGCGGGAGAACCCUCGUUAAGGAACUCGGCAAAAUGUACCCGUAACUUCGGGAUAAGGGUAGCCGUCUUGGUGAAGGAGCUUGCCUCUGGAGCUGAAGGCGGUCGCAGAGAAGAGGCCCAAGCGACUGUUUACCACAAACACAGGUGCCUGCUAAAGCGAAAGCUGACGUAUAGGUGCUGACACCUGCCCAGUGCUGGAAGGUUAAGGAAGGAUGUCCGGGCAACCAAAGCAUUCGACCGAAGCCCCAGUGAACGGCGGCCGUAACUAUAACGGUCCUAAGGUAGCGAAAUUCCUUGUCGGGUAAGUUCCGACCCGCACGAAAGGUGUAACGAUUUGGGCACUGUCUCAACGAGGGACCCGGUGAAAUUGAAAUACCUGUGAAGAUGCAGGUUACCCGCGACUGGACAGAAAGACCCCAUGGAGCUUUACUGUAACCUGACAUUGGGUUUUGUUGUAUUACGUACAGGAUAGGUGGGAGGCUUGGAAGGCUGGACGCUAGUCUGGCUGGAGCCGGCGUUGGGAUACCACCCUUGAUACAACGGAAUUCUAACCGAGAGAGUAACGAAAUCCGGGACAGUGUCAGGCGGGCAGUUUGACUGGGGCGGUCGCCUCCGAAAGAGUAACGGAGGCGCCCAAAGGUUCCCUCAGCGCGGCCGGAAAUCGCGCGAAGAGUGUAAAGGCAGAAGGGAGCUUGACUGCGAGCCAAACACGGCGAGCAGGUACGAAAGUAGGGCUUAGUGAUCCGGUGGUACCGAGUGGAAGGGCCAUCGCUCAACGGAUAAAAGCUACCCUGGGGAUAACAGGCUAAUCUCUCCCAAGAGUCCAUAUCGACGGGGAGGUUUGGCACCUCGAUGUCGGCUCAUCACAUCCUGGGGCUGAAGUCGGUCCCAAGGGUUGGGCUGUUCGCCCAUUAAAGUGGUACGUGAGCUGGGUUCAGAACGUCGUGAGACAGUUCGGUCCCUAUCCAUCGCGGGCGCAAGAGAUUUGAAGGGGUCUGCUCCUAGUACGAGAGGACCGGAGUGGACGGACCGCUGGUGUACCAGUUAUUCCGCCAGGAGUACAGCUGGGUAGCUACGUCCGGACUGGAUAAACGCUGAAAGCAUCUAAGCGUGAAGCCAUCCUUAAGAUGAGAUCUCUCACAGAGU